UCUCUUGAAUGAACAAAUUAGGUCAUCAUCAAGCAGUUUUAUUUAAUGGGAAUCUCCCGCGAGGUAUUCACAUAGUGAGAAACAGUUCUUCUCCCUUUAGAAAAGAAUGCUGAAAAGAACAGUCCCCUCCGUUUCACACAAGAGUGGAAGGGCCCAGUGAAAACUGGGAAUGUGCUAACUCCCGACAGUGGUGCUGGAGUGCGUCCUCCAAUCCAGCUGUCAGCACUGUUGGGAGCAAGGCCGAGCCUGCAACCACUACCUUUCGCACUUGCGCUAGGUCUGAGGGUUUGAAGAAGAGAUAGCAAUUCCUUCCUUGCUCCUUGCUCCGUGGUUCCAGAGCAGGUCUCUGAUUUGGAGCUUAUUAAUAGGCUUCCCUAAUAAGAUCAUCCAUAAAAUUCUGAGCCCCCAGUGCGUUUACCUGGUGUAAGUGUUCUUACCAGUAGGGGUGACAGCACAAAGGAAACUGAGGUUCUAAUAUUGACUCCCCAGGGCGAUGGGCAUCUCCUCCCAAAAACCUCCGUGGUGCAGAAGGCUGGACUCCCGGCGCUGGGAAUGACCUUGGAAACCUCUCCAGCACCUUUCUCAGCAAGCCAAGCUCUGAAACUGGGAGGGGAGGCUUUGCUGUUGAUGGUGCAUGCUGCACCAGGGGAAGGAAAUCCUGAGUUGAACUUCCUUCGGAGAGAGCGUGACCUUUCCGCCGGGUCCCACGCUCAGGACAGAUGGAGUUUCACUCUUGUUACCCAGAUUGGAGUGCAAUGGCACGACCUAGGCUCACUGCAACCUUCACCUUCUGGGUUCAAGCAAUUCUCCUGCCUCAGCCUCCCGAGUAGCUGGGAUUACAGGCACGCGCCACCAUGCCCAGCUAAGUCUUGUAUUUUUAGUAGAGACGGGGUUUCACCAUGUUGACCAGGAUGGUCUCGAUCUCUUGACCUCGUGAUCCACCCACCUCGGCCUCCCAAAGUGCUGGGAUUACAGGCUUGAGCCACCGUGCCCGGCCUUUGUUGUUGUUUAUUGUUAUAUUAGAAACUCACAGUGGUUUUUUUGUGGCAAUUGUGUUUGAUGUUUGCUAAGACUCAAAAUUACUGUAUUGUAGAAAUACAGAUAUGGAACCCUUAAGGGUUCUUUCAUUCAGUCAAUGACCAUUUAUUGUGCUUCUAUGAUGUACUGUUCUAGGCACUUUAAAAGUUCUCCUGAGUGGUACGCAAUGUACGCAAUAACACACAUAUACAUUUUAUUUACCAGAUGUAAUAGAGAAUACACUCCCAGUAAUCUUCUCUGUGCUCUUUUUCUUUUGAACUAUUAAAUAGCAUUUUUUGCUUAAUUUGUAACCAUAAAAAAAUUAGGAGAUAAACUAAAUCUCUAGAAACAGUUGGAAAGCUUAUCUUGCUCUUGAUAUAUAAUUAAUCCAUAAAUAGAACUAAGAAUUCUUAGUAUAAUUUGUUCAAUACAACAUAGAGAUCUCUCUAAAAAAAUAACUUAUUUAUCUGUUUAUUACUGUAUCUUAAAAAUAUAUUGUCAGAGAUCCUUAUUUGCCUAUAUAAUGAUUUACAUAAUCAAAUUUCCAGUAGAUUUUUGUCUAGCGGCCAAUUUUGUUCAAUCACCAUUUGUCGAAACAUCUCACUAUAGCAGGCAUCUUUGCAGGCACUAACUCAUUUAAUCCUUAGAUGAAAUCUAUGAUGGGAUAUCAGUAUCCCCAUUUCAUAGGUUAGUCUAUCUGAUCUCAUCAUUUCCCUUUUCCUACAGGCUUUUCCUUACCUAAGAUAAAGAAGGAAAGGGAAAUGAUUGUGGUACUUGUUAGAACCACAUGUUAUCUAAAUCAUGUGCCCAGAGUUGUGUCAAUCAUAGAUUUCACUUAUACAUACAAUUUCUGCCCUUCGUUUGGACUUUUCAUUGAGAUCUGGCAGGACUUCAAACACAAGAGGAUCGUUAUGUUUCCAGCAUGAACAAGAAUCUGAGAUCGAGUUGUGGCAAUACAGGUUGAGCAUUCUGAAUCUGAAAACCUGAAAUUCAAAAUCCGAAACUUUUGGGCACCAACCUGAUGCUGCACCUAGGGAAUUUCACACCUGACCCCAUGUGACAGGUUGCAAUCAAAACUUUGUUUUAUGCAUAAAAGCAUUACAAAUAUUGUAUAAAAUGACCUUCAGGCUGUAUGCAUAAAGUGUACAUGAAACAUAAAUGAAUUUUGUGUUUAGACUUGGGUCCCAUCCCCAAGAUAGCUCAUUAUAUGUAUGAAAUAUUCCAAAAUGCAAAAGAAUCUGAAACGUGGUCCCAAAUAUUUCAGAUAAGGGAUACUCAACCUGGACAUUAUUUAGUUUCUAUGUUUUCUGUAGCGAAGUAAAAUCGAAUUUAUUAAAUCAUCUUAAAAUGAUGUAGUUAAGAACAAGAAGCCAGAAGUAUAUUUUCAUCCCAAGCCGUCCCAGCUCCAUCAUGCCUCAUCCGGUGUUUCACCACGCAGCAGCAACAGCAGUGGUUUCGAAGAGCUCCAGAAGAGCAAAUUGAGCAUUUCGCAGAUGUUCCAAUAAAGCCGGACUGGCUGUGGCAUUUUUGACUUGAAUGAUUCUGCUUCGUGCAACCUCAGGAUGAGCACGUGGAGGCUGCUUUGCGUCAGAAAGUAAACAUGCGUAUGCACAAUUGCACACCACUCAGUGGUUUGUGCGGGUGGAGGAGAAUGUGCUUUUAAGGAAUAAUCUCUCCUCUUCAGCAAACCAACCGCUUUCUAUGUUUAUUGGCCAGAUUUUCUUUGGUGGUGUUUUUAUGGCUUGUUUGUCAGACAUGUUGCAUAUUAAACAAGCAAAGCCUGGAUUCUCUUAGGAUCCGAGGUCCUCUUUAUUCUCUCCUCCGUAUUGGAAAUCAUCGCUGUCAGCUCGUGCUCUCCAAGCUGCCUAGAAGAACUUUGGCAUAGUUUUCCUAACCUUUCAAACAGUAAAAGCAAAACUCUCCUUUGAUAAAAAAGCCGGAGGACUUUGGCAUGUAGCCAUAAAGGAUGCAGGCGACUCGGCUGCGAUCUGACAGAAUAAUCCACAAAACACUGAAAAGUUCUCGUUAAGGUCCCCAGAGUGGGCUGCGGCACUUUGCUUGUACUUAACAUAUAUCAACUGUCACCCGGCGGCAGUCAGUGUUGAACUGAACACAAUGGAACAUCCAGAUGGUCUAAACAAAGCGAACAAAUGUUCACUGCUAUUAAAAGCUGUUUACAUCAACUUCCAGGAUUUCAUGUAGUGAAGUUUAUAUUGUGUCACUACUGAGGUGCUUAGCUCUGUCUGCAUCAAAGACUGGCCUUUUAUAAACUCCUGUUGCUUGUAUGCCCAUGCUCUCAGCACCUAGUGGAAAGCAAAGUUGAGGAAUAAGUUAGGAAAUACAUAACAUCAACUAAUUAUGCAAUUUCAGAUGUUUUAAGUGAUUUGCCUCCAUUCUGUUAUUUUGGUCGUCUGUUGCAGCCUCAUCAGCUCCAGACCCAAUAAACACAAAGCAGACCCUCUUCUGUGAUGGGAGUGUGUCAUGGAUGGAUGGAUGGGUGGCUGCUAUCUGCCUCUGCAGACGGGGCCUCCGAGUCUCGUUGGCUCCUCGCUGGGGAUGUUUACCCAGUAAUGGUUUUGUUUUCUUCCUCUGAGAUGUGGCAGUAUCAGGUCCUGUCUUACUGGGGAUUAAUAUACAUGAAAGAUAAACCCACACUUUUUUGGUCUUCUUCCUUUGGCCUCUUUAUGGUGUCUCUUACAAAUUCCAGGCGCACUGCCUACAGUGUUCGAGAUCUGUUGUUGCCAUUAAUAACAAUACUUAUAUAAAAGGUGUCCAGCUUAUUUCUUGUUAAAGAAGAAUCUACAAAAACUGUCCCUGUUUUUUAAUCACUACCAAUUUCUCUUGGCAUAACAUAGCUAAACAAAUAAGUAAAUACUAAAAGAAUACUAUUUAUUAAUUUGCUCUACAAUUCAUAGUAUAACAAGAAUAGAAAAGACCCUCAUACGUGCAAGCUCACUAAAUAAAAUUAUUUUCUAUAUAAGCAUCAUUUUAACUCAAUUUUAUAUUUGUGUUAAAUUUUACACACAACCCCAAAAUAAUUGUACAUUAUUUGUUGUGCCAUUUUUGUUGUUACCAUGCCUUUUUGUUACCAUUGAAGACUUUUUAAAGAUGAUCUCAUAAAUGAUUAAACUCAAAUGUUUAAGAAAAUAUG